rnacentral:rRNA from 1 species
AACGAACGCUGGCGGCAUGCCUAACACAUGCAAGUCGAACGAUGCCUUCGGGCUUAGUGGCGCACGGGUGCGUAACGCGUGGGAAUCUGCCCUUGGGUUCGGAAUAAUAGUUAGAAAUGACUGCUAAUACCGGAUGAUGUCUUCGGACCAAAGAUUUAUCGCCCAAGGAUGAGCCCGCGUAGGAUUAGGUAGUUGGUGGGGUAAUGGCCCACCUAGCCGACGAUCCUUAGCUGGUCUGAGAGGAUGAUCAGCCACACUGGGACUGAGACACGGCCCAGACUCCUACGGGAGGCAGCAGUGGGGAAUAUUGGACAAUGGGCGAAAGCCUGAUCCAGCAAUGCCGCGUGAGUGAUGAAGGCCUUAGGGUUGUAAAGCUCUUUUACCAGGGAUGAUAAUGACAGUACCUGGAGAAUAAGCUCCGGCUAACUCCGCGCCAGCCGCCGCAGUAA